CUUCUGUGAUGACACGAUGACGAGUCAGAAAUGGACACAGCCCUGCUCAGAGCAACCGGCUCGGGGCCACGUUCUGUGGGGCCGCGCUCGCGCGCUCUGGCAGGCGUGUCCACUUUAUUGGAUGAUUUAGAGGCAUUUGUCUGAGAAGG